rnacentral:rRNA from 1 species
AGGGCUGACGGCGGAUGCCUAGGCGCACAGAGGCGAUGAAGGACGUGACUAGCUGCGAAAAGCUUCGGAGAGGUGCUAAGUGACCUAUGACCCGGAGAUGUCCGAAUGGGGAAACCCGUGACGGUUCGACCGUCCAUCUCACACUGAAUACAUAGGUGUGUUGAGGCCAACCAGGUGAAGUGAAACAUCUCAGUAGCCUGAGGAAAGGAAAUCAAACGAGACUCUGCUAGUAGCGGCGAGCGAACGCGGAAGAGGGCAAACCGUUGGGAUUCGUCCCAGCGGGGUUGUAGGACCCCAAUAUGGGAUCACAAUCGAUAGCGGAAGGAUCUGGAAAGUUCCUCGACACAAGGUGAUAGGCCUGUACGCGAAAUCGAGCGUGACUCUAGGGUGUUCCUGAGUACCACAGGGCACGUGAAACCCGGUGGGAAUCUGGGAGGACCACCUUCCAACCCUAAGUACUCCUGUGCGACCGAUAGUGAACAAGUACCGUGAGGGAAAGGUGAAAAGCACCCCGGUUAGGGGAGUGAAAUAGUACCUGAAACCGUCAGCUUACAAGCCGUUCGAGGGCUAUGUAUCACGCCUGAGAGCGUUCCUUUUGUAUGAUGAGUCCGCGAGUUACGAUGUGUUGCAAGGUUAAGCCGUGAGGUGUAGCCGAAGGGAAACCGAGUGUGAAGUGCGCGUUAAGUAGCAUGUCGUAGACCCGAAGCGUUGUGAUCUACACAUGGCCAGGUUGAAGCGCGGGUAAAACUGCGUGGAGGACCGAAUCCACCGAAGUUGAAAAUUCGGGGAAUGAGCUGUGUGUAGGGGUGAAAGGCUAAUCAAACUACGUGAUAGCUGGUUCUCCCCGAAAAAUAUUUAGGUAUUGCGUCGAGCAAUUCACUACUGGAGGUAGAGCACUCAAUGGGCUAGGGCCCUUACCAGGGUACCAAACCUAAUGAAACUCCGAAUGCCAGUAAGUGUUAUCUCGGCAGGCAGGCUAUGGGUGAUAAGGUCCAUAGCCGAGAGGGAAAGAGCCCAGAUCGCCAGCUAAGGUCCCCAAAUCUAUGCUAAGUGGAAAACGAUGUGGGUUCGCAUAGACAACCAGGAGGUUGGCUUAGAAGCAGCCACCCUUUAAAGAAAGCGUAAUAGCUCACUGGUCAAGCGAACCUGCGCGGAAAAUUCAACGGGGCUAAAGCAUAGUACCGAAGCUGCGGGUUCUCGUUUACGAGAGCGGUAGGGGAGCAUCGAAGUUGUCUGUGAAGGUCGAUCGCGAGGACGGCUGGAGACCCUUCGAGGGCAAAUGCGGACAUGAGUAGCGAUAAAACGGGUGAGAAACCCGUUCGCCGAAAACCUAAGGUUUCCUGGGCUAGGCUCAUCCUCCCAGGGUUAGUCGGAUCCUAAGUCGAGGCCUACGGGCGUAGGCGAUGGGAAGCAGGUUAAUAUUCCUGCACCACCGAGUUAGCGAAGAAACCAGCCAGGACGGAGAAGGGUAGGCAAGCCGGUUGUAGGUUAUGCCCGGCUCAAGCAAGUAGAGGUCUCGCAUACGAUCAAAAGGUGCGAGAGCUAUCCUCGAGAUGUGAUGAGAGCGCAACGCUACGGCAGCGCGCGAACUUGCCGGUCCCAUGCUUCCAAGAAAAGUGGCGGGUGGAGCUGUUUCGGUGUCCGUACCGUAAUCCGACACAGGUAGGUAGGUGGAGAACACUAAGGCGCUUGAGAGAACUCUGGUAAAGGAACUCUGCAAAUUGAUGCCGUAACUUUGGGAUAAGGCAUGCCCUAGGUGGUGAACCGACUAGCUCGGGGAGCCGUCCAGGGCCGCAGCAAAGCGGGGGUAGCGACUGUUUACCAAAAACACAGGCUUCUGCUAACUCGAAAGAGGAUGUAUAGGAGCUGACUCCUGCCCGGUGCCGGAAGGUUAAGGGGAUUGCUCAGCGUAAGCGAAGGCAUGAACCGAAGCCCCGGUAAACGGCGGCCGUAACUAUAACGGUCCUAAGGUAGCGAAAUUCCUUGGCGGGUAAGUUCCGUCCUGCACGAAUGGAGUAACGACUUCCCCACUGUCUCUACCAGAGACUCAGCGAAAUUGACCUCGCAGUGAAGAGACUGCGUACCCGCAGACGGACGGAAAGACCCCAUGAACCUUCACUGCAACUUGGCACUGACAUUCGGGACAGAUUGCGUAGGAUAGGUGGGAGGCGAUGAUACCUGUCU